rnacentral:rRNA from 1 species
UACGGGGGGGGUAAGCGUUGUUCGGAAUUACUGGGCGUAAAGGGCUCGUAGGCGGCCAACUAAGUCGGAUGUGAAAUCCCCAAGCUUAACUUGGGAACUGCAUCCGAUACUGGAUGGCUUGAAUCCGGGAGAGGGAUGCAGAAUUCCAGGUGUAGCGGUGAAAUGCGUAGAUAUCGUCAAGAACACCUAUAGCGAAGGCAGCUUACUAGGCUGUAACUGACGCUGAGGCACGAAAGUGUGGGGAUCAAACAGG